rnacentral:piRNA from 1 species
UGUGAGUUGCUGUCUUUGACUUCAAUGUG